ACGAGAUUCUCACUGUCCCUACUUACACCCCGGCGAAACCACAGCCAAGGGAACGGGGCUUGGCGGAAUCGGCGGGGAAAGAAGACCCUGUUGAGCUUGACUCUAGUCGAACGUCGAGGAACAGCACGGACGAACGUAGCAUAGGUGGGAGGCUCCGGCCGAACCUGAAAUACCACCGUCUCCGUCGUUGUUCUUCUCAUUUGGUGGUGUAGGGAUGGGGCGAAGCCCCUUUUUCUGGAGACGGCCGCGACGCGCGCCCGUCCGGGCUCCGUCGCUCGCGCGAGCGAGCGGCGGGGUCCGGCAGGCCUCCGCCCGCGGCGCCUAAUCCGAAGACGUCGUUCGGUGGGGAGUUUGGCUGGGGCGGCACAUCCGUUAAAAGGCAACGCGGGUGUCCAAAGGGGAGCUCGGCGAGAAGGGAAAUCUCGCGUCGAACGAAAGGG
rnacentral:rRNA from 1 species